rnacentral:rRNA from 1 species
GGAAUGAGUACACUCUAAAUCCUUUAACGAGGAUCAAUUGGAGGGCAAGUCUGGUGCCAGCAGCCGCGGUAAUUCCAGCUCCAAUAGCGUAUGCUAAAGCUGCUGCGGUUAAAAAGCUCGUAGUUGGAUCUCAGUUGCGGGCGGGUGGUGCAUCUACCCGAUGUGACAGCCCGAUCUGAACAUCUUGCCUUCUAUCCUCUGGUGUCCUUCACUGGAUGCCUUUGGGUGGUCGGUGCAUUUACUUUGAAAAAAUUGGAGUGCUCAACGCAGGCGAAGUGCCUGAACACUUAUGCAUGGAAUAAUAGAACAAGACCCCGUUUCUGUUCUGUUGGUUUUUGGAAAACGAGGUAAUGAUCAAGAGGGACAGACGGGGGCAUUCGUAUUGCGGCGCUAGAGGUGAAAUUCUUGGACCGUCGCAAGACGAACUACAGCGAAAGCAUUUGCCAAGAAUGUUUUCAUUGAUCAAGAACGAAAGUUAGAGGUUCGAAGGCGAUCAGAUACCGCCCUAGUUCUAACCAUAAACGAUGCCAACCAGCAAUCCGCCUGAGUUACUCCAAUGACUCUGCGGGCAGCUUCCGGGAAACCAAAGUAUUUGGGUUCCGGGGGAAGUAUGGUUGCAAAGCUGAAACUUAAAGGAAUUGACGGAAGGGCACCACCAGGAGUGGAGCCUGCGGCUCAAUUUGACUCAACACGGGAAAACUUACCCGGCCCGGACACUGGGAGGAUUGACAGAUUGAGAGCUCUUUCUUGAUCGG